rnacentral:misc_RNA from 1 species
GAUUUCCUUGUCCUUUUUUUUUUUCUUUGCUUCUACAUUUGGAACUUGAAAAGUAGCAAUUUUCCCUUUAAAUGAGUCAUCAAGGGGCUAUCAUACUAAAAUAACUUUGUGGGUAAAUCAGCUCGUAAGUUUUAUUUUUAGGAGCAAUUAAGUCCCAAAAUCUGACUAAAAUCUCAAAUACAUGAGUUCAAUGCAGUCAGAUUUAAUUGCCC